CAGUAGCCGCGGUAAUACGGAGGGUGCAAGCGUUAUCCGGAUUCACUGGGUUUAAAGGGUGCGUAGGCGGAUCUGUAAGUCAGUGGUGAAAUCUCCAGGCUUAACCUGGAAACUGCCGUUGAUACUAUAGGUCUUGAAUUUUGUGGAGGUUAGCGGAAUAUGUCAUGUAGCGGUGAAAUGCAUAGAUAUGACAUAGAACACCAAUUGCGAAGGCAGCUGGCUACACAACUAUUGACGCUGAGGCACGAAAGCGUGGGGAUCAAACAGGAUUAGAUACCCCCGUAGUCCCUGUCUCUUAUAA
rnacentral:rRNA from 1 species